rnacentral:rRNA from 1 species
UACGAGGGGGGCGAGCGUUGUUCGGAAUUAUUGGGCGUAAAGGGUGCGUAGGCGGUUUGGUAAGUCUUAUGUGAAAUCUAUGGGCUCAACUCAUAGUCUGCAUGAGAAACUGCCGGGCUUGGGUAUGGGAGAGGUGAGUGGAAUUCCUGGUGUAGCGGUGAAAUGCGUAGAUAUCAGGAGGAACACCGGUGGCGAAGGCGGUUCUCUGGGCCUUACCUGACGCUGAGGAGCGAAAGCGUGGGGAGCGAACAGG